rnacentral:rRNA from 1 species
GACGAACGCUGGCGGCGUGCCUAAUACAUGCAAGUCGAACGCUUCUUUCCUCCCGAGUGCUUGCACUCAAUUGGAAAGAGGAGUGGCGGACGGGUGAGUAACACGUGGGUAACCUACCCAUCAGAGGGGGAUGACACUUGGAAACAGGUGCUAAUACCGCAUAACAGUUUAUGCCGCAUGGCAUAAGAGUGAAAGGCGCUUUCGGGUGUCGCUGAUGGAUGGACCCGCGGUGCAUUAGCUAGUUGGUGAGGUAACGGCUCACCAAGGCCACGAUGCAUAGCCGACCUGAGAGGGUGAUCGGCCACACGGGGACUGAGACACGGCCCAGACUCCUACGGGAGGCAGCAGUAGGGAAUCUUCGGCAAUGGACGAAAGUCUGACCGAGCAACGCCGCGUGAGUGAAGAAGGUUUUCGGAUCGUAAAACUCUGUUGUUAGAGAAGAACAAGGACGUUAGUAACUGAACGUCCCCUGACGGUAUCUAACCAGAAAGCCACGGCUAACUACGUG